CGGUUACAAAAACCGUGGCAAAAUUAACCAAAUAAUAAGAACUUCCCUACGCAUAAAAAAUCGUGGCAAAAAUUUCGUGGCUAACACGCGUAGGUAUUAUUUUUGCACUUUCUGUCCAGUUCUCUCAAAAGCGAACUCCUUUUCCCCCAAAUUUUAUUUACCCUAAACCAUCUAGUUCUGAAUUUGACACCAAUCCAGUACAACCCAGCUAGAACGAAAAUCAAUUCUUCCAAAAAAUUAACUCUUCUUCACUUCAAUAGCAGUGAAAAGUGGUGAAAUUACUCCUUCCAGAAACAAUGUGCACAAAAUGCAAAAAAAUAGAAAGAAACUUAAAGUUUCGCAUACUGGUGGUAGCAAAAGCAAUGCAAGGAGAGGUCGUCAGAUGGAUAAAAUAUCAGAGCAUCUACCUGAAGAUCAAGAACUUUCUAUCAGUUAUGGUAUUCCUUUGAAGAUACUAGCUCAUCCUAACGACGCCAUUGGAAAAGUGUUUGGACCUGAACAUUCUAUAUGUGUGUAUGAUUUAGGUGGUAAUGUUUGUCCUUUAAAGGCUUUUGGAAUGUCCAGAAAUAGUCAUGUGAAUCUUAGUAGCUCAAGCAGUAUAUCUCGUGAACGGGUUAAAGACUAAGCAGUAUAUCUCGUGAACGGGUUAAAGACCUUGAGAAACAGGUAGAAACCUUGAAAGAAAAGUUGACCGGAUAUGAAGAAACCAAAGAAAAGCUUGCGCAAAAUGAGAAUCACUUGGCAUCUCUUCAUAGUUCUUUACAAUCUAAAUUUGGUAGUGAGUUGAUUACUUUGAAGUUUGGACUAAUCUUCUUAGCCUUUAGUAUAUUUUGAAACAAACAACAGAUAUGGUGUUUCUUUAACUUUUAACAUUAGUAUUUGUGGUAUCUUUUAUGAAUAUUUAAGAUUUGGACCUUAUCUUUUGUGACUAUAUAUUGAAAAAUAUAAGAACUUUGAUAA